UACGGAGGGUGCAAGCGUUAUCCGGAUUCACUGGGUUUAAAGGGUGCGUAGGAGGGCAGGUAAGUCAGUGGUGAAAUCUUCGAGCUUAACUCGGAAACUGCCAUUGAUACUAUCGAUCUUGAAUUAUCUGGAGGUAAGCGGAAUAUGUCAUGUAGCGGUGAAAUGCUUAGAUAUGACAUAGAACACCCAUUGCGAAGGCAGCUUACUACGGAUAUAUUGACACUGAGGCUCGAAAGCGUGGGGAUCAAACAGG
rnacentral:rRNA from 1 species